rnacentral:rRNA from 1 species
UACGGAGGGUGCAAGCGUUAUCCGGAUUCACUGGGUUUAAAGGGUGCGUAGGUGGGUCUGUAAGUCAGUGGUGAAAUCUCCGUGCUUAACAUGGAAACUGCCAUUGAUACUAUAGGUCUUGAAUUUUCUGGAGGUCAGCGGAAUAUGUCAUGUAGCGGUGAAAUGCUUAGAUAUGACAUAGAACACCAAUUGCGAAGGCAGCUGGCUACACAAAUAUUGACACUGAGGCACGAAAGCGUGGGGAUCAAACAGG